GGCACACACCACACAGGACCCUGCUUUCUGGGUGAAAGUUGCCCUAGGGAGGAGCCUCUGUCAAGGCCAAGGUCCUGCCCAGAUGUGAGGAAGUAGCCUUCCUUCUGCUUGCACUGAUCACAAAGCAACAAGACAGGUGCCAUCUUUGAACCAGAGACCAAGCCUGCUGGCAUCUUGACCUUGUACUUCCCAGUCUGCAGAACUUUUUCCUGGCAUCUCUUACAAACAUUACAACCACAGAAAUCAUACUGGCUGAUGGGAUGAAGGCAGAAAUUAUACCACUUCUAGCUUUGACAUAAAACCUUCCAUGCAACCCUCCAAGCUCACUGGAAUCCAUGAAGCCAGUUCCCUUUUCUCAAAAUAUCCAACCUUGAUGUUGUGCAUGACCUAUGGAAGUUGGUGCCCUUUACCAAGGAGAUGCACACAUGUCUGGCCAGGGCUCAGCAAAGCCAAAGGAGGAGAUAGCAUUGGCACUGGUGACUGUACACUUCUCCGCUGUCCCACCCCCAUGACAUGAGCCUGUGGACUGGAGACAUUGUAAACAGCAGCAGCAGCUUCAACCCUCACCUCCAGA
rnacentral:lncRNA from 1 species